rnacentral:rRNA from 1 species
GACGAACGCUGGCGGUGUGCUUAACACAUGCAAGUCGAACGGUAAGGCCCUUUCGGGGGUACACGAGUGGCGAACGGGUGAGUAACACGUGAGUAACCUGCCCUCAUCUCUGGGAUAACAGUCGGAAACGGUUGCUAAUACUGGAUAUGAGCUUGCAAGGCAUCUUGUGGGUUGGAAAGAUUUUUUUGGUUGGGGAUGGACUCGCGGCCUAUCAGCUUGUUGGUGAGGUAGUGGCUCACCAAGGCUUCGACGGGUAGCCGGCCUGAGAGGGCGACCGGCCACAUUGGGACUGAGAUACGGCCCAAACUCCUACGGGAGGCAGCAGUGGGGAAGAUUGCACAAUGGACGGAAGUCGGAUGCAGCAACGCCGCGUGCGGGAUGACGGCCUUCGGGUUGUAAACCGCUUUCAAUUGUGACGAAGCUUUUUGUGACGGUAGCAGUAGAAGAAGCACCGGCUAACUACGUG